GCUUAUUAACUUGGGUUCCGACUGAGGCAAUCAAAUUUGAAUUAAAAAAAGAAGAAGAAAAAGGUGAUGAAGAGCGUUGGAUGGAGGGGGACACCUAUAAACCCUACUAGACCCGGCCCAUGAUAAUCCAGCUAAGCACUACACAUGCUAAUCCCUCCUCUUUUUUUCCGUCACUCCCGUUGAAAGAUCGAAGAUGGCCGCCGCGAGGAACUUCAUCUCUUUGUUGCAAAGACGAUGUAUACAGACAUCUGCUGCUUCACUUUGUUCUAAUUCUUCUACACUAUCCACAAACUCUUCUUCAUCUUCAUCAUCAUCAUUUACAGUUCAGUUCCUCGUCAAUUCAUGCCGGCUUCCUUUAAAAUCCGCUCUUUCAGUUUCUAAAAAGUUCCAAAUCCAUGAAAAGGAACUCCAAAAGUCCCUUUCUGUACUUGAGUUCUUGAAAGCUCACGACUUUAACGAGACCCAGAUAGGCAGAUUGAUAGAAAACUGGCCCCGUGUCCUCCUCUGCAGAGUAGAAAGCACCCUCAAGCUCAAGUUCGAUUUCCUCACUCAGAACGGUUUUGCGGGUCAGAUUCUGCCUCAGCUUAUCGUCUUAGUUCCGGCGAUUUUGAAUAGGAAGGUAGAUUCUUGUAUUAAGCCAUGCUUUGAGUUUUUGAAGUCCUUUCUUGACAACAAUGAGAAACUUUUAGCAGCUAUUAAGCGUUAUCCGUGGUAUUUUACCUUUAAUUUCAAUUCUGCUCUGAAACCAAAUACUGUUUUCUUGAUAAAAGAGGGAGUGCCUCAUGAUAGGGUUACGAAACUGAUUUUGAUGUAUCCGAGAGCUUUACAGAUGAAACCUGAUAGGAUGGUCCGUGUAGUGAAUUCUGUUAAGAAUCUGGGCCUUGAACCAAAGGCUCCUGUGUUUGUACAUGCUCUUAGAGUGAUGAUAGGAAUGAGUGAAUCCACUUGGAAGAGGAAAAUUGAGUAUAUGAAGAGUUUGGGGUGGACUGAAGAUGAGGUUUUGCUGACCUUUAAACGAAAUCCAGAUAUACUGGCAUGCUCGGAGGACAAAAUCGGGAGGGCCAUGGAUUUCUUUGUGAAUACUGUGAGAUUAGGAUCACAAACUAUAGUUGCAAAUCCAGUUUUACUUCAGUACUCAAUUGAUAAAAGGGUUCGUCCGAGGUAUAAUGUUUUGAAGAUUUUGGAGUCAAAGAAUCUGAUUGAAGUUAACCAGAGGGUUUUUUGGUUGCUAACAACAAGAAGUGAGAUGAAAUUCCGGGAAAGUUAUGUUGCAAAGUAUGCAGAUAAAGUACCAGGCUUAUUGGAGAUAUAUCGCGGUACUGUGGAAGCAAAAAAGAUGAAUACUUGAUGCCAAUAGAUGAGUUUUUACUUCACAUCUGCUAUGCAUCAAAUGGUGGUGGUCUAAUUUCCUUUAGAAGUAGUUUUGAUCUGCUAACCAAUUUACAUUCCUAAAUUUAUUGUUCUAACAUGUUGAUUUUGCAUGUAUAUCAUUUUGGAUAGUGGUUUCUUUAAGUUAAUCUCGUGGUGGUUUCUUUUUGUUUAUUCUGCUGCUUCUUUUGGGUAUUUUUUUUAUAAUUCUGUUACCGGACAAGUAAAGAUUGGAGGAGAAGUAAAGAAGAUAAGAAAGAAGAAACAGAAGUUGGGAAGAAGCAGGAGCUGAAAAGGAGAGGAUAAAAUUAGAGGAAUGGAACAAAAGUUUGUAUAAAAUAACGAAAACUAAACCUAAUAAUAAACCCAAAUAAAAUCCAAUAACGCUUGGAUGUGUUAAAUCUCUCAACUAAAGAAUGACGUGUUGGGUUAUUCUCCAUCAUCCCUGUCCAUGUGUUGAGAGGGUCUAGUGUCACCACCACAUUCUCUCUUUGCCCUUGGAUCGUCUUUUGGCCUUUUUUUUGUCACUUGUUGCUUAAUGUUUGAAGUUCGAACAUUGAUGAUGAAAUGAUCUCUGUUUUCCAGGCUUGAAAAGCUCUGCAGGUUAUACCUUAAUUAUUUCAUUCUGAAUUGGUGAUGUGAAUUUGUAUAAUACAUGGCCAUCGCUAUUGCUAAGAUUGUUUUCUCAGCAGAGUCAACUUUCUACCAUGAGAUGUGUCCUUCAAGAGUAAGAUUUUUCUUACUACUUUUUUUAUUUAAACCGAGCUAAAAAUGCAUUGAUAACCUCAAUUGCAUUUGGAAAUUUCCAAUUUUAGAUUUAUUUUUCUUUAGAAUGGAAUGUAAUUAAGAUGCUGAGAUUUCAAUGUUGGCCCAUUCAAGCACUACACUCUGUUUUUCAAGUGUAGAAAAGAGAAUCUAGAGUGAAAUGGAUUUCUUAUGCAUGUGAUUAACACCAGAAACUGUAAUUCAAAAUACACUGCGGGUCUUCGAUAUUCAUUUAAUAAAAGAAUGUGUGCAAGUUACAAUGUUUUGAUGGUUUUGGAUUCAAGGGGGCAAGAAGGUUGUGUGGUUUCUAAGACUAGGACUAGGAUUUCCUUGUGAAUUAUGCCACUAAAUACGCUAAUGAAGUCCCGGAGUUUUUGCAGAUUUGUGGCCGUUGCAUUUGAUGGCAAAGAAGAACUUAAUGAAGUGUAAAAUGAACUUGAUUCCAGGUUUGCCUUUCUCCGCAGGUCAGGUAUGAAAUCUUUUAGUCCAUGUAGUUAUAGUUAUGUAUCUUUCACAGGCAACCGAAUGAUAUGAACUGAAGCAAAGAAAACAAGGGGAUGAACUCCACUUGGUGUUCUUCGUAUCCAUGAAAAUAUACUUAUACUGAGUUGAUUGUGAACAACUCUAAUAAACAGGUAUGAAACUGUAUCGAAGAAAACCAGAGGAUGUGCUUCCCUUUAGUGUUCUUGAUAUCAAUGAGAACAGGCUAUUUUUAUAAGAAACAAUUGGGUUGAUUAAUCUCUCCCCAGAACUUAUACAACUCAACAUUGAAGGAGUAAA